AUACGGAGGGUGCGAGCGUUAAUCGGAAUUACUGGGCGUAAAGCGUACGUAGGCGGUUGGGUAAGUUAGAUGUGAAAGCCCCGGGCUUAACCUGGGAACUGCAUUUAAAACUGGCGAACUAGAGUUGAGUAGAGGGGAGUGGAAUUUCAGGUGUAGCGGUGAAAUGCGUAGAGAUCUGAAGGAACACCAGUGGCGAAGGCGACUCCCUGGACUCGAACUGACGCUGAGGUACGAAAGCGUGGGUAGCAAACGGGAUUAGAAACCCUAGUAGUCC
rnacentral:rRNA from 1 species